CCUACGGGAGGCAGCAGUAGGGAAUUUUCGGCAAUGGGCGAAAGCCUGACCGAGCAACGCCGCGUGAAGGAAGAAGUCAUUCGUGAUGUAAACUUCUGUUAUGAAGGAAGAACGGCAGAUGGAGGGAAUGCCAUGUGCGUGACGGUACUUCAUGAGGAAGCCACGGCUAACUACGUGCCAGCAGCCGCGGUAAUACGUAGGUGGCGAGCGUUAUCCGGAAUCAUUGGGCGUAAAGAGGGAGCAGGCGGCAGUGCAGGUCUGCGGUGAAAGACCGGAGCUAAACUUCGGUAAGCCGUGGAAACCGCACAGCUAGAGAGCAUCAGAGGAUCGCGGAAUUCCAUGUGUAGCGGUGAAAUGCGUAGAUAUAUGGAGGAACACCAGUGGCGAAGGCGGCGGUCUGGGGUGCAGCUGACGCUCAGUCCCG
rnacentral:rRNA from 1 species